UACGUAGGGUGCGAGCGUUAAUCGGAAUUACUGGGCGUAAAGCGUGCGCAGGCGGUUCGUUGUGUCGGCGGUGAAAGCCCCGGGCUUAACCUGGGAAUGGCCGUCGAAACUGGCGAACUGGAGUGUGGCAGAGGGGGGUGGAAUUCCGCGUGUAGCAGUGAAAUGCGUAGAGAUGCGGAGGAACACCGAUGGCGAAGGCAGCCCCCUGGGCUGACACUGACACUGAGAGACGAAAGCUAGGGGAGCGAAUGGG
rnacentral:rRNA from 1 species